AUUGAACGCUGGCGGCAGGCCUAACACAUGCAAGUCGAGCGAGCGGCGCACGGGUGAGUAAUGUCUGGGAAACUGCCUGAUGUAGGGGGAUAACUACUGUAAACGGUAGCUAAUACCGCAUACCAUCUGAUGUGCCCAGAUGGGUUUAGCGGGUAGGGGGGGUAACGGCUCACCUAGGCGACUAUCCCUAGCUGGUCUGAGAGGAUGACCAGCCACACUGGAACGGAGACACGGUCCAGACUCCUACGGGAGGCAGCAGUGGGGAAUAUUGGACAAUGGGCGCAAGCCUGAUGCAGCCAUGCCGCGUGUGUGAAGAAGGCCUUCGGGUUGUAAAGCACUUUCAGCGGGGAGGCGUUACCCGAAGAGGAAGCACCGGCUAACUCCGUGCCAGCAGCCGCGGUAAUAC
rnacentral:rRNA from 1 species